CAGAUUAUAGCAUAUACUAAUGUACUUUAUUUACACUAGAGGGAAAAAAUAAUUUAAUCUGA
rnacentral:tRNA from 2 species